CUUGGCGGCUAUAGCGCUUUGGUCCCACCCCUUCCCAUCCCGAACAGGGUCGUGAAACGAAGUUGCGCCGAUGAUAGUGUGGAUUACCCAUGUGAAAGUAGGUCACCGCCAGGC
rnacentral:rRNA from 1 species